CAAUAUUAAUCGCUGGCGGCUGCUAUAAGAGCGCGCCGCGUUUUUCCAGGGACAAAUCGAUGGAGCGGGGCAGCCGGCGCGCAGGGAGGAGGCGGAGGCGCAGCCCCGGGGCCGCGCAGGUUUUGCCAAACACGUCAGCCGCGAGGCUCCGGUGCCGGUGUGCUGGGGGGGCCGUGCACGCACCCAGCAGUGCCGCCGUACGCAGCUGCGGGUCCGCUGCCAGAGCAGGGGCACAGCGUGGAUGAGAGUGGGCAGAAAAGGGGAAAAAAAUGCACCAGAGACUUUUCCCAGAGUUUUACGUUUUUAUCUGGGCCUUCACAUCAAUUCCGUGCUUCUGUCCACGGCAGCAGCAGCACCAGGGCUCCUCACGGCUCUCAGUGCCCUGGGUGCCUGGGGGAGCUGCUUGCCCUCCUUCCAGCAGGGGAUGGACGAGGAACCAUGAAGAACCCUUCCAGGCCCCAGCAGAGCACCCAGAGCAGGGGCCCAACCCUGCCGCACCUGCCCCAUGCCUCCAGGCAGCUGAGCCCCUCAGUUUGGGUUUGGCAGCGGGGGCGAUGUGCCCAACCCAGUGCCAAGGCACAGCACGGGCUGGUGCCUGUCCCCACAGCAGCACAGCUCCCCGCUUCACAGCCCGGCCCACGGCGGGGAGGCCGAGCAGCGCUGGAGCCAAAGAGGCCCAUUUCCCCUCGGAUUCACAUCUUCUGCUUGUAUUCUCGGGUGUCCAAUAAGGCACAAACUCUGACCCCUGCUUUUCUUGGGGAUGGGGCAUUAAUAAAAUCUCUUGCCUGGGGCAGGUACG